AAUGAACGCUGGCGGCGCGCCUAAUACAUGCAAGUCGAGCGAGAAGACGUAGCAAUACGUUUGUAAAGCGGCGAACGGGUGAGGAAUACAUGGGUAACCUACCCUCGAGUGGGGAAUAACUAGCCGAAAGGUUAGCUAAUACCGCGUACGCUCCUUGGACUUCGGUUCAGGGAGGAAAGCGAUACCGUGGGUAUCGCGCUCUUGGAUGGGCUCAUGUCCUAUCAGCUUGUUGGUGAGGUAACGGCUCACCAAGGCUUCGACGGGUAGCUGGUCUGAGAGGACGAUCAGCCACACUGGCACUGCGACACGGGCCAGACUCCUACGGGAGGCAGCAGUAAGGAAUAUUGCGCAAUGGGCGAAAGCCUGACGCAGCGACGCCGCGUGGGGGAUGGAAGGUCUUCGGAUUGUAAACCCCUUUCGGG
rnacentral:rRNA from 1 species